UACGGGGGGGGGAAGCGUUGUUCGGAAUUACUGGGCGGAAAGGGCUCGUAGGUGGCCAACUAAGUCAGACGUGAAAUCCCUCGGCUUAACCGGGGAACUGCGUCUGAUACUGGAUGGCUUGAGUUUGGGAGAGGGACGCGGAAUUCCAGGUGUAGCGGUGAAAUGCGUAGAUAUCUGGAGGAACACCGGUGGCGAAGGCGGCGUCCUGGACCAACACUGACACUGAGGAGCGAAAGCCAGGGGAGCAAACGGG
rnacentral:rRNA from 1 species